CGCGAUUCGUCUCUGCGGCCCAGAUACCUUUGCAUGAACCCUAAUCCCUCUUCACUUCUUCCCCUUCGCUUCCUCUGAACCUCUCAGGCGGCGAUAUGUCGAUUGUGCUUCUGUAACGGUUUUGAUUACUGUGUAGUUACUCCCAGCGUCUUUGAUUCGUCGUCUGUGUGUAUAAAUAGCUCCAAGUUGUUCUUCUCUGACCUGAGAACCGGCAGGUGCUCCUCCGUUUCGGUAUUCCUCUCUGAUUUGCAGAUGGGCCGCUCCUCCUCCACUAUUCAAGUCCAGUUGCUCCGUUUCUGAAAGGCCAAGAAUAUCCGCCGUGGUGGAGAGCUUUCUGCUACUCGAUUCUCAGGACUGGUAAUUCGCGUGAUUUUGCUAUUGUUAGGUUUAAGUAUAAAAAAGCUCACAAAGCAGUGGAAAGGCUUGAAGAAUGCAGCAGUCGAGUUUGUGUGGGUGGUGAACCCGAAAGAAAAGAUGUAGCAGAUCAUCUCAAGCUGGAGAUUAUUGGGGUUGGGAAGAAGAAGCUUCAUGAAGCAAAAAGUGUGGGUGAAACCAAGGUUGAACUUCAGGAGUUGCAGGAGUUCAAGCAUGCUGGUGAUGAUGCCCUUACCCUUACUCCCUCCUAUCUUUACUGCAAAUAAGAUGAGCAUGAAUCUAGAUGGAGGGAAGUUCUAUGAGGUGAUUAUUUCUCUUUUCAAAACUUUGUUCCUCACAUUGGUUUUGUUGGUUUUCUCAGGGCUGUGUUUGAUCCAAUGGAAGGAUUAGAAUUGGUUUACGCACAAGAUAUCUAUGGAAUGACUUGAGAAAACAAAAUCAUGGAGCAUCAAGGAUCAGAUUUGAUGUGGGGAGAAAAUGAGCUUAUGGCUCAAGAAAUCGUUCUUCUCACCAACUCAUUAACACAAAGCUUAGCAUCUGUUUCAUGACUGAUCUUGGAGUCAUUGCCUCAUUGGUGAGAUUCAACAUGUUUGAAAGAGGUCUACUUGGAUAGACCCAUUACCACUCGAAUGUUUGUUAUCAGCAACGUUGAACAGCAUCAACACAUCAACGGAACAAGAUGACGGAAUCUCUGUGCUUUUCUCAGAUUUUAAUACACUCUUUGGAGCUUGGUAGUCUCAUCGGCAGAGUCAUGAGAACAAAGAGAUGACAGAGACAAUAACAAAGCCAAGUCUUUGAAGAGAAACAGAGACGGGACAUGAAGUUACUUCCGGGUUUUCACAGCUUAUGGAGGGUCAAACCAGAAAUUAGCAAGACGGGGACAAGUGGAAACCCCGAUGAUAUCAUAGCAGAACAUCUGUCUUUAAGAGCUGAAAUAAUGAAUCUUGAAAGUUAAAACAAUUCCAUUUCUCGCAUUUGUCAAAAGAACCACAAGUUAUUAAUCAAUAUCUGUAAACUUAUACAUUCUCUCACUAAAUAUUCACCUUUAUAUAAAUGACUUUUCAUAGGAGUA